GAACCGCUUGCGGUAACACAAAUUCGGAUAUAACGAGGUAAAGCAGCCCUGCUCCCCGGAGCACUGCUUUACUGCAUUAUAUCCGAAUUCACGUUGUAUCAGACUGCAUUAUAUCGGGGUAGAGGUAUAUGCAAAAAAAAAUAAAAAGUUUGAGAAUCACUAUUCUAUAGAUCAGAAGGUUGUACAUUCAAACCCUGCUGAGGAUGAUUCGUGUGGAAGUGAAAACAUAUACAACGGCAAAGUUAGCAUAAGAACCUUGGAGUAAUAGUUGGAACUAUUUCAUAUUGCAAAACAUUGCAUCUAGAAGUGAAUUCGAAUGCUGUGUUAAUAUUUAUUUUAUUGUUUGUAUUUUGGUUAAUAGGAGCUGCUCUGUUAAGGGGGUAUGGCAGACUGAGAGAAGCUUGAAGGAGAUUUUGCCUGUGUUUCCAGAGAUUGGAAGAGGCUGUUUGCAUAAGCUACAGAAAGGUGUGUAGAUGCCUAAAGACCAAAGAGUCGCUUUAGAGUCUUUCAAUGCAUGGAGGGACUCGUCAGUCUUACCUGCAAAUAAUUUUGACCUUCAAAGGGAAGAUCCUCUCUGGUGGAUUGCAGCUCCUUUGGGAAUCCAGACAGGUGGAGCCAAGAGGCACAUUGCAUUACUAUGGCAGUUGCAAUGGAUCUUGCCACUGUGUUUGCUGAGUCUAAGGAUGCCUGAAGAUCUGUUCUUGCCAGGAGAUGGCCUUCAGAAAUGACUGACCUAAAUUGCUCCUUUUUGUCUUCAGGGAUAAUGUCAAUAAAUUCAAACAGUUUUGAGUAA